UAACACAUGCAAGUCGUACGAGAAAGUCGGCUUCGGCUGAUGAGUAAAGUGGCGCACGGGUGAGUAACGCGUGGAUAAUCUGCCCUUUAGUUGGGAAUAACGUACCGAAAGGUGCGCUAAUACCGAAUAAUGCUGAGUGACAUCAGUUAUUUAGCCAAAGAAGGCCUCUGCUUGCAAGCUUUCGCUGAAGGAUGAGUCCGCGUACCAUUAGCUAGUUGGUAGGGUAAUGGCCUACCAAGGCGACGAUGGUUAGCUGGUCUGAGAGGAUGAUCAGCCACACUGGAACUGAGACACGGUCCAGACUCCUACGGGAGGCAGCAGUGAGGAAUAUUGCGCAAUGGGGGCAACCCUGACGCAGCAACGCCGCGUGAGUGAGGAAGGUUUUCGGACUGUAAAGCUCUGUCGAGCGGGAAGAAAUGCCUGAUGGCUAAUAUCCAUCAUGCUUGACGGUACCGCUAGAGGAAGCACCGGCUAACUCCGUG
rnacentral:rRNA from 1 species